UUAUUUUUGUUUCCACUUCCUGUUUGCCUCUGUAUGCCAACCCCUCGCCCUCUGGUCUGAGCACCUCACCUGCCCCUGAUUGCCAUUCAGGACACACCUGCACCUGGUUGCCAAUCUAAAAGCCUCGUCAGCAGGAUCAGUCUUGCUUUACACUUUUGUGUUUUUAGCUCAUUCUAUUCAUUUGGAACUCAAAAACCAAGGAGUUUGCCGCCAUCUUUACACAAGAACCUUGAUGUUUUGAGUAGGAAGCUCCUCCUCCUUUCCAAGUGGCGUCCGGGUUGACCCCGCAGGUGUGUUUGUGUGCCGCUGAUGAUGUCAUGUGACCACACACACCUGCUGCCAGGCGCUCACCUGGAGGUUUCAAAUGUCAUAAGCAGGACGAGCUGCUGUGAGACAUGAAGCUGUAUCAUCGUACACCUUGGCUGGCUAAAAUCAUACUGUCGACCACGGUGGGACUGAUUGCCGGAAAUUGGACAUGGCGUGGGCGCUGGGACACCUCAGAGCUUUCUUCUUGAAGAAGGUGCUCCUGAAGCAAUGUUGUACUUCCGUGCCAUUUUGCAGGAAACGGUCUUCUUUGAAGUCUUUAAAUAAAGGAGACGUCGUCACGUGAGCUGCACAUGACACCUCAUUGGCUAGCUUACCUCCACCUCAUGAGACGUAG